ACAGCUGCUAUGACAACCGAUGUAAACUCUCUGGGUAGAUAAAACGGUCUACAUUGAAUCAUCAGGUACUCGAUAUCCGGAGACCCGUUCAUCCCUGAACCCAUCCAGACCACUGUCUCGGGUACUUUGUGAUAGUGGCUGUCAAACCAGCCAUUUUUCAUGGACACAGAGAGCCGACGGCACCAAUGGCAGUCAGUUAUGAAAGCCUGCAAGAACAGUUCACCGUCUCCUCCCUGAGAGUGAAAAGUAACAAGUCAGAGUUCAUUACAUUUCACAUACAUCAUUUCUACCCCAGCUCUCAAAACCGGAGUCCAGACAUGUGUUUUUCUUUGUCACUGUGUGUACGUGGCACUUUCCAUGAGGUGUCCCUGCAGAGACAUGUAGCAUUCCUGAGGGUAGAUGAAUUCACACUCAGUAAAAGGAAAGCAAUAGAGGCUGACAUGUUCAAUGAGGAUGGAUUUGUUUUUCUAGCCCUGCUACGUACUGACAGAUGUGUGUCAAUCUGACCUCCGACUCCUAUCAUCCAGCCCUCCUCUCCUUAGAACCUGAAGUAUACAAAUACACCUUAUUACUUGAGUACAAAACAGCAGCGUGGUCAUGUAAAAAGCAUUUUUACCAUUCCUGAU